GAUGAACGCUGGCGGCGUGCCUAAUACAUGCAAGUCGAGCGAACGGACGAGAAGCUUGCUUCUCUGAUGUUAGCGGCGGACGGGUGAGUAACACGUGGAUAACCUACCUAUAAGACUGGGAUAACUUCGGGAAACCGGAGCUAAUACCGGAUAAUAUUUUGAACCGCAUGGUUCAAAAGUGAAAGACGGGCUUGCUGUCACUUAUAGAUGGAUCCGCGCUGCAUUAGCUAGUUGGUAAGGUAACGGCUUACCAAGGCAACGAUGCAUAGCCGACCUGAGAGGGUGAUGGGCCACACUGGAACUGAGACACGGUCCAGAGUCCUACGGGAGGCAGCAGUAGGGACUCUUCCGCAAUGGGCGGAAGCCUGACGGAGCAACGCCGCGUGAGUGAUGAAGGUCUUCGGAUCGUAAAACUCUGUUAUUAGGGAAGAACAUAUGUGUAAGUAACUGUGCACAUCUUGACGGUACCUAAUCAGAAAGCAACGGCUAACUACGUG
rnacentral:rRNA from 1 species